AAGCUGUAUCUUCUUUUCUCUUCUACAGUCGGCUGUUGCUGUGUAUCAAUUUUAUCUUCUUCUGUACUCACCAAUCCUCAAAAGAACAACAACCCGAAAACAAAAACAAACAGAGAGAAAUACAGGAAGAGAGACGUGAAGGAUUGACGACGAAAACAAGCCUGGGUUUUAACCUUUCAACGAUUCCAAGGUCCAGCUUUUUUGGAGAUUCUGAAGGAAAAGGAUUCGGUUAAAAAGAAAUAAAACAGAUUAUAUGCAAAAAGGUUUGGUCUUAAUUUUUUUGCUGCUACUCCUUUAUCUGUGCUUUGGUAGUAUUGUGGUCUAUUGUUCUUAUUCAGGUAAAUCAGCUAAGGCUUAGUUAGAUGUUUUUUGUAUUGAAUUCACAAUGUGUAUAGCUGUGGUAAUGUUCUAUUCUUUAACUCUUACUGUUUGAUUAUUCAGAUAGUUAUUCAAUUUCCCAACUGCAUUGGGUUUAGGUAUGGCUAGGUGAUUGUUUGUUGACUUGGUGUUUCUUUUAAGUGUAUUGAUAUAUCAUAAUUUUUUAAUACAGUGAUGGCAGCAAAACCUGAAGUUCAUGGUAAUUGCAUUGAUAAAUGAUGAAACUGAUGAAGCAUCAGUCAUCAGAAAGGGGAAUACUUGAUGUUGUCAUAGAAUGGUUUGAUAGAAUGUUAUUGUAAACUGCAGUUAUGUAAACCAAAUAAUUUUAGACAGAUGAAAUUUUGGCUCAUUUUAUCAUUAUUAUUAGCAACAGCAAAACCCCCAGCAAAGCGCGGGCACUAUUGCUAGUUCUUAAAAUUCAA